rnacentral:rRNA from 1 species
UACGUAGGCAGCAAGCGUUGUUCGGAAUUACUGGGCGUAAAGAGUGUGUAGGCGGUGCUCUAAGUUUGGUGUGAAAUCUCCCGGCUCAACUGGGAGGGUGCAUCGAAAACUGGAGUGCUCGAGGGGGGGAGAGGUAAGCGGAAUUCCUGGUGUAGCGGUGAAAUGCGUAGAUAUCAGGAGGAACACCUGUGGUGUAGACAGCUUACUGGACCACUUCUGACGCUGAGACACGAAAGCGUGGGUAGCAAACAGG